CGGUUACGGGGGAUUAGGGUUCGAUUCCGGAGAGGGAGCCUGAGAAACGGCUACCACAUCUAAGGAAGGCAGCAGGCGCGCAAAUUACCCAAUUCUAACAGCAUAAGAGAGGUAGUGACAAGAAAUAACAGUACAAGGCAGUUAAAAUGCUUUGUAAUUGGAAUGAUAGAAAUUUAAACACUUUUUAAAGUAUCAAUUGGAGGGCAAGUCUGGUGCCAGCAGCCGCGGUAAUUCCAGCUCCAAUAGCGUAUAUUAAAAUUGUUGCAGUUAAAAAGCUCGUAGUUGAAUUUCUGCUAAAAAUAACCGGUUUGCUUUUAUUAAUAAAAGUGGUAUCUUGGUGUGUUUUUAGCAAUAAUGUCCUUUGAAGUGUUUUUUACUUUAUUGUAAGAAGCAAUAUUCAGGAUUUUUACUUUGAGAAAAUUAGAGUGUUUCAAGCAGGCUAACGUUUUGAAUACUGCAGCAUGGAAUAAUAAAAUAGGAUUUUGGUUCUACAUUAUUGGUUUUAAGAA
rnacentral:rRNA from 1 species